UAUGAGAUAUGGGGUCAUCGGGAGCUCAGGGGUCGUUAGGAGAUAAUUGGGAGUUAAUUGGGGUCUGAGGGGAUAUUGUUAUGAGAUAUGGGGUCGUUAUGAGCUAAUUGGGAGCUAAUUGGGGGCUGAGGGGAUAUUGUUAUGAGAUAUGGGGUCGUAAUGAGCUAAUUGGGAGAUGAGGGGUCGUUAUGAGCUAAUUGGGAGCUGAUUGGGGUCUGAGGGGAUAUUGUAAUGAGAUAUGGGGUCAUUAUGAGCUAAUUGGGAGCUGAGGGGUCGUUAUGAGUUAAUUGGGAGCUGAUUGGGGGCUGAGGGGAUAUUGUUAUGAGAUAUGGGGUCUUUGGCGACCUUCGGAAUUGGAUUUGACCACCCAAAAUGGCGACAUUUAGCCCCAAAAUGGCGACCUUCGGCAUUGGGUUUGGCCACCCAAAAUGGAGACAUUUAGCCCCAAAAUGGCGACCUUCGGUGUUGGGUUUGGCCACCCAAAAUGGUGAUAUUUACCCCAAAAUGCGCACAACCUUCGGGUGUUGGAUGUUGGCUGGCCCACCCAAAAUGGAGACAUCUGUAGACCCAACAAAAAUGGCGACUUCGGCUGUUGGUUGUUGGGUUUGACCACCCAAAAUG
rnacentral:lncRNA from 1 species